GCCCGCCUAGCUCAAUCGGAUAGAGCGUCAGACUUUUAAAGCUGUUCGUGCGGGACGGAUUAAUAAUAUCUGAAGGCUGCGGGUUCGACCCCCGCGGUGGGCU